GGGUGGUAAUGCCGGAUGCUCCAUCACACCGCAUGGUGUGUUGGGAAAGCCUUUGCGGCAUGGGAUGGGGUCGCGUCCUAUCAGCUUGAUGGCGGGGUAACGGCCCACCAUGGCUUCGACGGGUAGCCGGCCUGAGAGGGCGACCGGCCACAUUGGGACUGAGAUACGGCCCAGACUCCUACGGGAGGCAGCAGUGGGGAAUAUUGCACAAUGGGCGCAAGCCUGAUGCAGCGACGCCGCGUGAGGGAUGGAGGCCUUCGGGUUGUAAACCUCUUUUGUUAGGGAGCAAGGCACUUUGUGUUGAGUGUACCUUUCGAAUAAGCACCGGCUAACUACGUGCCAGCAGCCGCGGUAAUACGUAGGGUGCAAGCGUUAUCCGGAAUUAUUGGGCGUAAAGGGCUCGUAGGCGGUUCGUCGCGUCCGGUGUGAAAGUCCAUCGCUUAACGGUGGAUCCGCGCCGGGUACGGGCGGGCUUGAGUGCGGUAGGGGAGACUGGAAUUCCCGGUGUAACGGUGGAAUGUGUAGAUA
rnacentral:rRNA from 1 species